rnacentral:sRNA from 1 species
GGAGGGCGCAUAGGAAUCUGCGAUUCCUAUUUAGGAUGCGCCCGACAACCUGCCGCCGAGCAACGCGAGGGGGCGAUUCC